CCUACGGGAGGCAGCAGUGGGGAAUAUUGCACAAUGGGGGGAACCCUGAUGCAGCGACGCCGCGUGAGUGAAGAAGUAUUUCGGUAUGUAAAGCUCUAUCAGCAGGGAAGAAAAUGACGGUACCUGACUAAGAAGCCCCGGCUAACUACGUGCCAGCAGCCGCGGCAAUACGUAGGGGGCAAGCGUUAUCCGGAUUUACUGGGUGUAAAGGGAGCGUAGACGGUUAUGCAAGUCUGAAGUGAAAGCCCGAGGCUCAACCAUGGGACUGCUUUGGAAACUGUAAAACUGGAGUGCAGGAGAGGUAAGCGGAAUUCCUAGUGUAGCGGUGAAAUGCGUAGAUAUUAGGAGGAACACCAGUGGCGAAGGCGGCUUACUGGACUGUAACUGACGUUGAGGCUCGAAGGCGUGGGGAGCAAACAGGAUUAGAUACCCGAGUAGUC
rnacentral:rRNA from 1 species